CAAUGGGCGGAAGCCUGAUGCAGCGACGCCGCGUGGGGGAUGACGGCCUUCGGGUUGUAAACUCCUUUCACCAUCGACGAAGGGUUUCUGACGGUAGAUGGAGAAGAAGCACCGGCUAACUACGUGCCAGCAGCCGCGGUAAUACGUAGGGUGCGAGCGUUGUCCGGAAUUACUGGGCGUAAAGAGCUCGUAGGUGGUUUGUCGCGUCGUCUGUGAAAUUCCGGGGCUUAACUCCGGGCGUGCAGGCGAUACGGGCAUAACUUGAGUACUG
rnacentral:rRNA from 1 species